CCUACGGGCGGCUGCAGUGGGGAAUAUUGGACAAUGGGGGCAACCCUGAUCCAGCCAUGCCGCGUGUGUGAAGAAGGCCCUCGGGUUGUAAAGCACUUUCAGUGAGGAAGAACGCCUGGUGGUUAAUACCCAUCAGGAAAGACAUCACUCACAGAAGAAGCACCGGCUAACUCCGUGCCAGCAGCCGCGGUAAUACGGAGGGUGCGAGCGUUAAUCGGAAUUACUGGGCGUAAAGCGCGCGUAGGUGGCUUGAUAAGCCGGUUGUGAAAGCCCCGGGCUCAACCUGGGAACGGCAUCCGGAACUGUCAAGCUAGAGUGCAGGAGAGGAAGGUAGAAUUCCCGGUGUAGCGGUGAAAUGCGUAGAGAUCGGGAGGAAUACCAGUGGCGAAGGCGGCCUUCUGGACUGACACUGACACUGAGGUGCGAAAGCGUGGGUAGCAAACAGGAUUAGAUACCGAGUAGUC
rnacentral:rRNA from 1 species